rnacentral:ncRNA from 4 species
UGUAAACAUCCUUGACUGGA